rnacentral:lncRNA from 1 species
CAUUCUGUUAAAAGAAUGUAGGAAUAAACCUAAUCAGUUCCUUCGUAUAAGAAAUAAUAUCAGCAGAGAUGCAAGUAUUAAUCCAGCAUUUUUAAAGGAAUUUCAAAUGCAACAAAUGAUUGGACUUCCUUCUUUAAGUCUGGAGAAGAAUGGAGGUCCUUCCAUAAAUCCUGUCUUUAAAAAAGGGAAAGAGCAUCGAAGAAAAGCAAAACCUAAAAUUCAACCAAGAGAUUCUCUGACUUUAAUACCGCCUAUAACUAACUUCAUGGGACUCUUCAAAAUGGCAAAAAAGAACAAAGUUUCCCGUAAUAUUUUUUCUUUUUCAUCUGCAAUUUCAUCAGACAUCAUAAAUGUAUCAAGACCAAGAAUAGUGUAUUUAAACCAACUUGGGAAACAGGAACAGAAAGGCAACCCAGAGCCUGGAGAAGGCUAAUAAAAAAGGAUCUUAGCAUGAAAAGAUUCUGAGCAAUCUUCUUAAAAAGUGUUUUAAAAAUUUUUAAAUUACAGUAAAAUACAUAUAACAUAAUGGAGCAAUCUUUUUGAAUGGAAGUUGAUACUGAUACUAGAUUUUCCUUAGCAUUUCUACUGGAAUUUCACACAAGGUCAGAGUUACGGUUUCAAAAGUAAAUAGAGUUUCUGUAAUAGAAUGCCUGCAUAUAAACCUAUUACUGUUUUUUAACUGAUACAUAUAUCUCUCAAAAGUUAAACUGAUUUAGAGGUUUGAGUCAAUGGUAACCAUACAUUAGCACUCAUUUUAAAUACCUUAAUGAUAAAUAUUACAAACCCAUGAGACUUCUAAGACCUGAAAUAUAUGCUGUUUUAAAAAUAUUUUCUUAAAAAUAAAAUCUGACAUGGUUGUUCAUCAGGUACACAAGUAUGGUUACAAAAUGUGGCUACCAGCGUUGACCAUAUUCCAGGUAUACACAGUGCCUUUGAUUUGGAACUGGAAAGAAUUAUAUUCUUUAUGGCUUACAACCACAUGUUGUCUUUACUCAAGAAGCACUGCUUCCAACAGGUGCAAUUUGGUGUGUGCCUGCUUCCAUUUCAUAGCAGCAGACAGACAUGAUACAACAAGCAGGGCUUCACUGUGUUCUUUACUGCCCCUCCUUUUCUCCGUCCACUUUGCUUCACUGCCUCCAGUCUGAUGGUCUGGCUAUAAUCCAUUCUUUAUCUGGGCUGCAGGAAGCAUCAAAUGUAUGUAUUAAUUAGUAGUUAUUUUCCCCCAUAGGCCUUACCAUAACAACGAUGACAGUUUCUCAGAAUCCAAAGCCUGGGUUCUGAACCACUGCAAACCAAGAGACCUCUAACUUUUCAAAUUAAAUUCCAAAUAAUGUUAAUUAGUUGUAACUCUCUGAUGGAUGGACAAGUACAGGAAAUGCAAGUGGGAAAUGGUAUGUUUUAUUACUAGAAAUGAAUAAAUAAAUCAAAUAAUAAGGAACUAUUUAUUCAGCAAAAUUAAAGAUAAGAAUUCAUAUCAAUGGAACUAUUAAGCUAUGCUAGAUGUUAAAAAACUCUAGAGAGAGCCUUUUGAGUUUUGAAACUAUCAUCAGUUUGAAACUAUAUUUUAAGAGCAUUUUCAGGUUGAAGAGCAAGGUUUCUUUAUAACCACAGGUAAUUCCUCAGUAUUUUAGCUUAGCCAGACAAUCCCACCAACUUGACAACUUAAAAUAUUUCUCCUAGGGCCGGGGAUUUAGCUCAGUGGUUCUGGCCCCCACCUUGAAACCACAAGGACCCGAGUUCGAUCUCCGGUACCAAAAAAUUUUUUUUUAAUUUUUUAAAAAUUUCUCCUAAAAACCAGCCAACUCCCAUAAAAAUUAUCUCAGUGUCCCUCUCUCUUCCUCUUCUUCCUUCCUUUCUCCUUUCUUAUAGCUAAGUACUGAAAAGCCUAAAGCUACAGAAGGCUUCCAGAGUUUGUUCAUUUUCUUUAUCAGCAGUUACCUUUUUUCAUAUCACAAACUCAAUUUUUACAUGCAGGAUUAUAGCACCUGGAACAAUUUUCAAACUUUGAAAAUUUAAAAACACAGAUUAUGGGUAUCCCUUUUUAUGAUAGUAGGAAGAAAUGUGGAUAAAUCUUCCAUAAUUUAUACAGGAACUCUGAUUGUAAUAGCCACAGGAAAUAAUUAUACUUGUUUUGUUUGUGUGGGUUUUUUUGGUACUGGGGAUCAAACUCAGGACCUUGUGCUUGCAAGACAGGUGGCAGAACCACUAAGCUACAUCCGGGCC